GAAUCCUGACACUGUGUGACCAGGUGAUACCAGGAUGAAUGACUAAGAAAAGUAGCAUCCUGUCGCGAGCUUCGUUCCUUUUCGCUCGUCAUUUUUCCUUCGAGAUUGCUUGAUUCGCUGCCAGGAAGAGGAUACGCGACGUCGUGUGAUCACGUGCUUCUAAGAAUUCAUAAUUGACAAUUUUGGCUUCGAAUUCAGUUGUUUACCAAGAAUUUCCUGGCAUAAAGUAACAUAAUUUCCUGAGUGGAAUUUUUAUGGAAUAUCUACGCUCUUUGGCAAAUCAAGAAAAGUGCCGUCGCGAAGGUAAAUCACCUUGUUUAUCUCUAAAAUAACCAAUUAAUCUUCGAAGCUGUUGCAACCAUUGGCUGAAGCUUUUCCUGUUCCACGAACUUGACACCGGUUCCUUGAAAUCGAGACUUGGACUACUGAACACGCCGGUCAGACUGGUUUCCCUCGAACUGGCAAAAGCAAUGAUCGAAGUUCGGCAAGGUUUUUAAAUAUAGCAAGGAAUAAAGGUCAAGGAAAUAUCAGCAAGAUCUAGUCUCGUAUAGAAUUUCUUUACGCAGUUGCCUUCUACUUCGUGCUACAUAUUUAGAUCGACAAACUCAAAACACUGUAGUCGACGCGGCUUACCUACACGAUGAGAUGAAUUUGAAAUUCAUCGUGGCGCGUGGUUCGAAACGAAAACACAGGAAAUUGAUAACUGAAUACCAAUGAAAGGUACGUCUUCGAACGAUGCGUCAAAUGGAGGAAGCAAUAUUUCAAAAACCCUUUUUGAAAAUAAACUCUGACCUGUAAAAUUGCUUCGAAACUCAAGUAUUGAGAUAUAAUAACUGUAAGUUUGAAUAAUAGUCGUGGAAAGCGUCAGAUCAGAGGGGUUAAAGAUUAUGAAGUGCGCUGCAACCCCUAUAAUUCAAAGAAGAGUUAAAAAGAAGAAGAAAAAUUGAAAAUUCCAAGUCAAAUCCAUUUGUUUUCCAUCAGCUUAUCUGAAACUCCUUCGAGCGCUUACUUCUAAGGAAGAAAGGCUCGCCAACGAGGAACUCACCUCAUAAAGUCGGUCCAGUAUCCUUCUUCCUCGAGAACACCGUAUCAACUCAUCGUCACACCACGUGUAUACAAUUUCUUUCGAUCACUCGGUUCAAAGAACGUUCACGUAUUCACUGAACCUCAUGACGCACACGAGCCGCAGCAACUUUCCGAUUUUAUCCUCUCGGUUUCAUGAGUCGCCGUUUCGAAAAAGAGCCGAUGUCUGCCAGCCAAUGGACAGGUCUACACUGCAUCCUAAGGAGGUAUGCGGCCUCUGCUAUGGGAGUGGAAGGAAUGGAGAGAGAACGAGAGAGAAAGAGAAACGGCAGACCGAAGGAGAGGCUACAGUCCGUGCCCAGUAACUGCCGAGCGAAAGGGGGGCGAACCUUUUUGAUUCUUUUGUACCUCGACGUGCCAGGUGAGUCUCUUUCGUGGUUCCAUCAUGGCUCGGAUACUGCCUGGAUGUUGAGGUACGGAAUGGAUCAAGGUGGAUAGGAAUUUUUCUGGCCGACGUAAGUCUUAUCGGUAAUAUGUAACUGGAGACGAAAGAGAAUUAACAAACUGGGACUCUGACAACAGCAGAAUGCUGCAUAGGCGUGGCUCCAAUAAUAAAAUAUGAAGAUUUAGGACUGGAAGUUGACGAGGACAAAAUUUUGCCAUCAGGAGAACGUCUGAUCGGCAAUACUCAACUGGAGACUCAACACUGAAGGAGAAUUAGCAAACUGGGACUCUGGCAACAGCAGAGUACUCCAUAGGCGUGGCUCUAAUAAUAAAAUAUGAAGAUUUAGGACUGGAAGUUGAUGAGAUCAAAAUUUUGCCAUCAGGAGAACGUCUGAUAAUACUUUGCAGACAUGAAUGUUUAUUAGGAAUUUUCCCUAGAGACACAAUUCUUAUCUCAACAUAGUUAGAGAAGUUGACGAAGUCAGAGGCCAAAAUUUUGAUAUCAAAAAGGAGUCUCAUUAAAAAAAAAGAAUUACAUUUUCACAUGUACAAUAAUGGAGUCAUUUACCCCGCGUUGUUCUACCUGAGAUUAGAAAGUUUAGCAGCGGAAAGAAGAAACGCUCUGUAGCAAUCGAAACACUGUAAUCGUCGUGCGAUUCGCGAUGUCUUUCAGCCGGACUCGUUCUUAAUGGCUAUCGUAGCUCCGUUCUCAUCGUUUGAAACGCUUUUGCAAACGAUCUCAAAGCGCUUCUCGUAGGAAAAAAAGAACGUCAGAGGCAAAUGAAUACGUAUCAUCGAGAAUUACAGUGCCCCGUGUAUCGGGUCUAUAUUCUGUAACUGGUUGCGUGUCGUUUUGUGUCUAAUUUGUGCGUAAUUUAUCGUCGAGACCCGUUUUGCGGAACAAGUUUGCCGCGUCCAAGCAUGCGAGUCCACGGUAUGCGGCUUGGAAACACCGAGACAUCCUGCCGGAAGUGGUGGACGACGCUUUUGCGGAAGCCUGGCAAGGUACACGCUAGAGUGUACAGCUUCCUUGCAUCUUCCUUGAGUCUAUCGUUAUUUUGUAAAUAAUGUUUGAGCAGGUUCUUCGAUCUCUGAUAAACAGGAUUUCUUGGAAACGCACGUGAAAUAAUGGGUCUUUUGUAAACUCCUCUCUCCAUGGACGAAUGAUAAACAAAAUCUGAAUACAUGAAAUAUUAAUUAAUUUUUCACUGACGACCGAUAGCACAAAUUUUAUCAAAUCUUAAUAAUAGUAACCCUCAAGUGUAAUGAAAUUUAGAAUACCUCCCACGCUUUCUCGAAAUUCAAAACACGUUCACCACUUACGCUUCUAUCUCGCUGUUUACAUCAUUGUUGCGUUAGAAAACACGGAACUAGAGGUGUAACAACGAGUGUACACGCUGGAAACCGCACACGUGCGAGCACAUCAAGCGUGACUGCGAGCCUGUUCGCGGCGAACUCUUCGCGGAUUUCUCGCUGAUCCGACUCGAAAGGUUUCGUCCUGAAUGCGAGGCGAGCACGCAACCAAUAGUAGGCUACCAGGGUGCGACGUUCAAAUGUCCCUGGCUCCUCUUUUUCCAUAGAAACGAAAUGGAAAGAGAAGGCGAGACGAAUGACACUAGAGAAGAAAAUGUAGAAAUUGAAAAAAAUUAUAGCAUUUGAAUUAAAACAUUUCUGCAGAUGUUCUAUUGAUUAUAUUUUCCUCAUUUGUAUGGAUGAAUGUGAAAUUCAUUAUGCACGAAUGCAUGAGAAAAUAAUGAAGAGAAAUAGGAAAAUAGGAUAUGCAGAAUGAGGUAGACGAAUAGCUGUUUGGAUUAUAAUGAAUCUCUGAUCUGUGUGAGAUUCCUGAGUGGAACAAUAUGAGUAAUGAUCGAAGGUAAUAAUAGAUAUUUACAUAGAGUCAAAAGGGUUCAACAAGAUUGGAAUAGGAAGAAGGAUCUUCAGACAGACGGAAGUGAAACCCGUUUCCAGUAUACUUCCUCAAUUAAUUCUUCUUCUAUUAAAUCACGAAGUGAAAGUAACAGAGAUCACCCACGCCAUAGCAUCGGGUAACAACCAUCAAAAUUAUAUCUCAGCUGCAAUGGAAUAUGUAACUUCGGAGCGUGAAAACAGCUUUCCACCUUGAUCCUUGUAGUUCUACGAUUCUUCGCGCGCGUCAAUGAUCAUACAAUGGAGAACACAAGGAUCCGUGACUGGUGGAAAGGUCGUGUAAAUAGGAUAUCGAGAAGGAGGACAUUAAAAGAGGGAAAAGGAGAAGGAAACGAGCAGAGAAGGACGUUUCUGGAAAGACGAGAAGGGGACGUGUACAGUUACCAAUGGCCGAACCGAGCAACUUCACCUUCCACGACGUCUUGGACUACUCUGAAAACUCGGACGAACAUUGUUUUCCCCUUUACUAGCACGUUUCCACUUGCAUCCUCUUGAUUGACGAAGAGAAACGUCGUUUCGCUACGAACAGCAUGAUUCUCUUGGAAAAUAAGGAAUGCUUCGUUAAACGUUCUUAUCUUCGAAGUAAUCCUCGACUGGCGAACAUCUGAAGGUCAGGACAUUCUCAGCGAAGUACUUUUACCAGCAGCGCUAUUUUUGCAUCUGUAAAUGUCAGUCUAACGCUUUUGAAGAAAUAUAAAUGAAAUAAAUAUUAAUUGCAGAUGUAUAAUAUUCAAGUCUAUUCAAGGUAUUAUUUUAUGAAGAAAAUCCCAGUGGAGAAUUGUAAUUUAAAAAAGGAAGGCCGGUGUCACGUGCAGCACAAUGACAGCCACACAAGCGAUCGCAAUUGCACGCUCGUACAGGUCCGCGUGGUUACGGAGCAAGAGGAAGAAAGCCGUGGGAUAAGACGUUUGUUGCACAAAGAUCAACCUCUUCUUUUCUCUUUCCUUUUAUUGGCGAGGUUUUGCUUGCUCCUUGUCACGGGAGGUCUGGGAAAACUCCCGUGAACUAUAUGAAAACACGACUGCUGCCAGUUAGUUAACCCACUUCUCACGACGCGCACCUUUUGCAGGCGAAACCUUUUAAGGUGAUCAGUUACGUUAUUGCAGUGCCAAAGUAGCAAGAUUAUUCUAGCAAAUGUAAAUAAAAUAUUUCUGAAUACGUUUUUGAAAAAAUGAUCACCUGUGAAUAUGUUUCCUAAUGAAAGAAA